UACGUAGGGUCCGAGCGUUGUCCGGAAUUAUUGGGCGUAAAGAGCUCGUAGGCGGUAUGUCGCGUCUGCUGUGAAAGACCGGGGCUUAACUUCGGUUUUGCAGUGGAUACGGGCAUGCUUGAGGUAGGUAGGGGAGACUGGAAUUCCUGGUGUAGCGGUGAAAUGCGCAGAUAUCAGGAGGAACACCGGUGGCGAAGGCGGGUCUCUGGGCCUUACCUGACGCUGAGGAGCGAAAGCAUGGGUAGCCAACAGGAUUAGAUACCCGCGUAGUCCCU
rnacentral:rRNA from 1 species